rnacentral:lncRNA from 1 species
UUUAUUCAAUUCCUCAUUUUUUAGCAAAAACUGGAAGAUAGAAAUCUACUCAGGCAAGGAUGCAAGUCAAGAAAGCAAGCCAGCGAAGGCAGCGUGAGAACAGGCAGCCUGCCCCUGCUUUGCUAGUGGCCUGAGCUGUGGCUCUACGCGGAAGGGUGGAGGCUGGCAGCGGUCACAGCCUUUUUCAUUUUGUAUUAAUUUUCCCAGAUGAUGUGUAUAGUUCUGUCUGAGAAAACGGUGGCAGAGUCUCCCCAGGUUUUUAAAUUCCUUCCUUUAAUGUCAUUCACUCCCCAAAUCUGGGCUCUACUCUUGUUUGUCCCUCUACCACCACCUCAAAACCAAAAGUAAGUUCUGUGCUAAUGAGGAUGGGGAUUAUUUCUAGGUCACAGCCCAUGAGCUGGGAAAGGAGGCAGUCCUCUUGGGAGGAACAGCAGUGGCCCCAGGCUUUAAGUGGAAGCCAGCAGAGCCCCAACCAAUGGGUGUGUUCCAGAAAGAAUGUUGGAAUACAUACCGGGUACUGCAAGAACAGCUGGGCUGGAAUACUCACAAAGAAACCCAGCCUGUAUAUGAAAGAGCUGUGCCUGCUCAACAGAUUCUAGCCUUUUCUGAGCAGAAAAGCACCUCAAACUGGAAGAUGGCAUCUGAGCUCAUCUUGCCUGAGUCCCAGGUGAGCUGUACUUUCCAGCUUUUCCAGGCAGCCUGAACGUGGCCUUUUCUGUGCUUUUCUCUGCUGCCUGUGACCCCCGGUGCGCGGUGGGUGCUCUGAGGCGUAUUAGCCCCAGAUGUUGUCCUCUAGGCAACUAGGUUUGGUACAGUGCGAUUGGGCAUCUCUCAAGCUGUUGACUGAUCUCUUUGGCUCCUUCCUUUUCUGCCAUCUCACUUUUUUCCCCAAAUCUUAUACUCUUAACUUCUUCAGUGACUGGCCGGCCGUGUAAUUCAGACAUGAGUGAUAAGAUGGUUUCUGUAGUGGCAAGUACUAAACUAAACUCAUUCUCUUCUUUAGAGUUUGUUGACAUUUGAAGAUGUGGCUGUGUCUUUUUCCGAGGAAGAAUGGAAAUUGCUGGACCCUGCUCAGAAAAUCCUCUACAAUGAUGUAAUGCAGGAAAACUAUGAGACUGUCAUCUCUCUAGGUAAAGAUUCUUCCUUCCCUUUGCGUAGAAGUUGAGUAAUCUCUUAUGUCCUCAGUUUAUGGAAAAUGCACUCCCGUAAUAGUCCCAGUGUUCCUGUAACUGCUUGGUUUUCAGCUUGAUGGUGUGGGGGAAAGUAAAGGCAUACCCAGAUCACCUGGAGAGCUUUUUACAAAUACAUAUCCCACUUCUUUACUCUAAAUAGAAUUCUUGAUCUAUCGUAUUCCCACCCCACCCUGCAAACUUGUUCUUCCCGUAUCGUUUCCAUCUCAGUAAAGGGCACCAUGGUUUACCCAGUUGCUCAGGCCAAAACCUCUCACAUUUCCUUUAUUCCAGUCUUUAUGGAUACCCCACAACUGAUCUAUCAGCAAGUCCUCUUAGCUCUGUCUUUAAAAUAGAUCCUGAAUGCAACCAUGUCUCAACCUGUUCCACUCUUAGCAUCCGAGUGUAAGCCACCCCCACCUUUAACCAAGACGACUUCAACAGCAGUGGAUUCCCACUCGCCAUAUUAUUUUCGUCUGUCCUCCUUGGGAUUAGUUCUUAGCUUCCUCGCUGCAUAUCCACCGACACCCACAGCAGAAUAUAAAGAAGAUAUUGAAUCGAAGGUUCUGCCCAUUUGAACAUUCGGAGUAAAUAAAAGGAUAAAAGAGUCAUUCCUUCUUCCUGAA